rnacentral:rRNA from 1 species
AGAGGGUGCAAGCGUUAAUCGGAAUUACUGGGCGUAAAGCGCGCGUAGGUGGUUUGUUAAGUUGGAUGUGAAAUCCCCCGGGCUCAACCUGGGAACUGCAUCCAAAACUGGCAAGCUAGAGUAUGGUAGAGGGUGGUGGAAUUUCCUGUGUAGCGGUGAAAUGCGUAGAUAUAGGAAGGAACACCAGUGGCGAAGGCGACCACCUGGACUGAUACUGACACUGAGGUGCGAAAGCGUGGGGAGCAAACAGGGAUUAGAUACCCUGGUAGUCCACGCCGUAAACGAUGUCAACUAGCCCGUUGGGAGCCUUGAGCUCUUAGUGGCGCAGCUAACGCAUUAAGUUGACCGCCUGGGAGUACGGCCGCAAGGUUA